rnacentral:rRNA from 1 species
UCCUACGGGAGGCAGCAGUGGGGAAUUUUCCGCAAUGGGCGAAAGCCUGACGGAGCAACGCCGCGUGGGGGAAGAAGGUUUUUGGAUUGUAAACCCCUUUUCUCAAGGAAGAACAAAAUGACGGUACUUGAGGAAUCAGCCUCGGCUAGCUCCGUGCCAGCAGCCGCGGUAAGACGGAGGAGGCAAGCGUUAUCCGGAAUUAUUGGGCGUAAAGCGUCCGCAGGCGGCUAAUUAAGUCUGUUGUUAAAGCCCACAGCUCAACUGUGGAUCGGCAAUGGAAACUGGUUAGCUAGAGUGUGGUAGGGGUAGAGGGAAUUCCCGGUGUAGCGGUGAAAUGCGUAGAUAUCGGGAAGAACACCAGUGGCGAAGGCGCUCUACUGGGCCACAACUGACGCUGAGGGACGAAAGCUAGGGGAGCGAAAGGGAUUAGAUACCCCUGUAGUCCUAGCUGUAAACGAUGGAUACUAGGUGUUGGGCGUAUCGACCCGUUCAGUACCGUAGCUAACGCGUUAAGUAUCCCGCCUGGGGAGUACGCACGCAAGUGUGAAACUCAAAGGAAUUGACGG